rfam:Rachiplusia ou multiple nucleopolyhedrovirus, complete genome.
CAUUUUCAGCGACGUAUAUUGACAAAUAUACUACAGUCGGACGUUUGUGCCGACAUAUAUACUACACUUUACCAAAAAUAUACUACACUAAACUCUAAAUAUACUACAACUCCGCUUCAAUAUAACUAUACUCUCGUAAAACGGCCUAAAAAUAUCGAAAUAUAUGGGGUAAAUACACGUUUGAAAAACGCUACGAUUCC